rnacentral:lncRNA from 1 species
CGUGCGUGUGAGGCGGCGUUUUCGCGACUGGGGGGAGGGAUUUUUAUUAUUAUUAUUAUUAUUAUUAUCGCGAUUAUUAUUUUGGGUGGGAGCGGCCGCCCGGAGCGCGAGGCCGGGGGGAGCCGGGGUGGGGGCCGGGAGCCGCCCCCAUUUUGUGGCCGCUUCGUCGGAGCGGCCGCACGCGAGAGCGUGAGAGAAAAAGUUGGAGCGCGGGGCCGGGCUGCUGCGGGUGGGGGGCGACGCGGCGCUGCCCUCCGCGGGCAGGGGCACCCCUCCGUCGGGCGAUCAGCGCGUCCAGAUUGGCUGCGAGCGGCCGAGGAGCGAAUCCCGCAGCCCCCUCGGGAAAGAGAGCGCGCCCCCUCCUCCUCCUCUUCCUCCUCCUCGCUGGGGGAGGGGAGGAGGGAGGAGAAGGUAAAAUUUUCCCCUUCCACGCGGAGCCGGCCGCCCUUUCCCGGAUCCCCGUCUCGGGGGGAGGGGGGGGCGGGAGUGAGGGGGGGUGGGGAAGGACCCGGUAAACAAGCGGAGUCCCUCUCCGGUUGUGCAACUUCCUCAGGAACCCUCGGCACCCAGUUCCUCUCCCACCCUCGCUCGCACCGCGCUCGCCCCCGCGCCGGCCGGGGGUCCGUCUCUUGCCGCGCGCUCCCGUCGCUCCGGGCCGGGGGGAAGGAGGGGGGAGAGAGAAAACGGCGGGGAGCGGCGGGAGAAGCGCGCUCCCUCCGCUCCAGCGCUGCCGGCUCGCGACCGUCGGAGCGGGCGGCCGCUUUGUCUCGUCGCUCCUGCCCGAGCCCCGGCGAAACGCGGACCCGAGCACUCCGGGUUUUUCUCCGCCAGAAAGUUUCGAGUGCGGCAAAACACGCCGCAAAACUGGCCAAGGAGGGACCUCUGGCGGUAGGCCGCGGGCAGCCGGCGGCCGCGCCCGGCGGGCCCCGCGUCGCUGCGCUCCGGCGGCGCGGCUCCAGGCCGAGCGCGGCGGGGUGCGGGCUCGGAGCGGCCCGGGCCGGCCCCACGCACCGCCGUCGGCCGCCCCGUUGUUCGCGGCGCUCGGAGGCGCUGAGUAACGCUUCCUGGAAACGCGGCCCCGCGGGAUGCGUUGGGGAAGGCCGUGACGCGCGGAUCCGUGCGGUGACCCGCGGGCAGCGGGACGGGCUGCGCGAUCCGUGA